GGUUCUCCGUGCUUGCUGGUUGUGGGCCCCUCUGGAGACUCCGCCGGCCUCACCCGGUGACUUCCCCAGGCCCCCUCACUGCCCGCCGGGCGCACUCCGUCGGGGAGAAAACCCAAGGAGCGGGACCGCGUGGGCUUCAUCUGUCUCCCAGUCCUGGAGGCUCAGGGCCCGGGCGGCUGGGCCCCCCCCCAGGGAGGGGCCUGGGGGUCCCUGGACCUCCACCCACCGGGCUGCAGAGCUCACCCUGUGCUCUCACAUCCGGGAUCUGCAGGCGCCUCAGAGCACCCUGACCAAGCUGCCCACGCCGGAAUCAUCGUCGUCGGCAUUUUACCAAAAUGCUAGACCCCGAGCUCAGAGCAGAGAGAGACGCGCUUUCCCCGUGGCGCACCUGGCGGGGGCAGAUCCCACGGCUUGCGGAAUGGGUCCAGAUUCCCCGGGUCGCUGUGAGGUCGCUGUGCCCUCCGCUGGUUUCCACUCGGAGGAAUCGGGCCCAGGCUGCGUCCACCCCCAGAUGCUCUGCUCCCCAAGACUCUGCAAAGGGACGAGCACGAAGGCCGAGGGUAGUGGUGCAGAAAGCCGUUUGCCCAGACGUCCUUGCCGGAGACAAACAGAUAAACCUUUUUGCAAGUUUGGUUACACAUUAACUCGGCACCCAAGGGCGCUGCCCCUACGAGCAGACAAAGUCCUUGCCCUUGGCCUGAACAGGCCUGAACGGGCCAGAGGAGCCCCGCAGCAUCCGGCCACGCUCCUGGAGCCCAUGCGGGCACCGCACAGCCGCACGGUGUCGCCCGCGGCCCCCUUGCCCCAGCCACCGUGACCGGCCGACUCCAGGGGCAUUGCUGGCGGCUCCGGGUGGGAGCCCCCUCUUCCGCCCGGAUCGGAGCCUCUGCUGGCUUUCCUCGGUCACCCGCGGGCCGGCUGAGGGCCUCCUGGCCCGGAGCCUGGACGCGGUCGCGGGGAGCAGGGCGGAGACGUCCUGCACAGGCCUCAGCGAGGUGCCCACCUGCCUUGCAACGCAGCCGUGCACCCAGGUGGCGCGGGUGGAGGCCGCCGCGGGUCCCCUGCUAAGGGGUCGGUCCCGAGCCGCGGGGCGCGGGGUGGCAACGGGCUCGCCCACUGCAGUGGGUGAGGAGGAAAGGGAGCCACAGGCCAACAGACCCGAAGAGGACGGCUCCCCUCCGGCGGUGGACGGCGCGGGCGGGACGCUGACCUCGGGCUGACGCCCCAGCACGGGCCUGGGCACCCCAGUGAACCCCACGGGGCCCGGGCGCCUCUGCCCCUUGCCCGGCGCGGCGGGGGCCGUCGCGACUCCACUGGGGUCGCCGCUGCUCCACCUCAGGACCGACGGCCGCCCCCGCUCCCUCAGGCCUCCCGCCCCCCAAGCCCCUUCUCUCCCUGCCCGGGCUGCGCCUGCACGACCCCCGCGGCCCCGCCGAGCCUCCCCUCCGCUGCCCAGCCCUGCGUGAGCGCUGCCGCCCUUGCCGCCCCGACUGCGAGCGCGGCCGUUGAAAGCACGUCCCGGUACACUCAGCUCUGCAAACCAGACGCUAGAAGACCGCAGCCCGGCCCCCAGCAGCGGCCCAGCCCGUGAUCCCCCGACCAGUGAGUGGCACAGGCCUAAGCGCCUGCAUGACCACAGAGCACGCGGCCCCCGCUGAGCUCGGGGCUGGGGCAGCGCCCCCCACUCCUGAGGACCUGAGCACACUGACUCCCCCAGAUCUCAGCUGCUCACCGCCUGAGGACCGCACAUCCGUGUGUUCUCCGUGUCGCGUAAAGUGAGCUGAAGAAGAAAACGUCAUUAAGAAAGCAUAACGGGGCGCCUGGGGCUCAGCGGUUCAGCGUCUGCCUCUGGCCCAGGGUGUGACCCUGGGGUCCCGGGAUCGAGUCCCCCAUCGGGCUCCCUGCAUGGAGCCUGCUUCUCCCUCUGCCUGGGUCUCUGCCUCUCUCUGUGUCUCUCAUGGAUAAAUACAUAAAACCUUUAAAAGAUUAGGAAGGAGGAAGGAUAGAAAGUAUUGUGCCCAUCUUCCAGCUAGGGAAGCCAAGGCCGGGAGGGACUACAUGACUUCCCCAGGCCUGGUCCGAGCGUCGCACCCCUGUCCCCCGGUGCCCAAGUGCACGGGGCUUCUGAAGGGGAGCACGGCCCUCCCCCAGGGAGACGACGGGCCGAUGGCGAGCACGGGGACCGCAGCACAAAGUCCCCUGGGGAAGAGCCAGGAGUCCAGAGGCGGCGAACACGUGCCGGCCAGAUUCCACCCGGAAAAACGUGCUACAUCUUUGUUUUCUUCCCGCAGCCCAAUUAGACUGCAGAUGGGGGUCUUCUUCCAUCAACCCAAUCCCUUUAAAAGAAAGGGGGAAAAAAAAAACCAGUGGCUUUAGGAUUUUUCUUUUAAGCCCUGAACCUCUUCAGCGGCAAGUGCUGCCCUUCCGACCUGUUGAUGUAAUUGCCAUAAUUGAAGAUUCCAGGCCCCCAUGUGGGUGGACAGGGCCCCAUUCAUCCAUCGGGUCAGCGAAGUGUAAACCUGCUGAGUCCUUCAGAUGCCCCGGCCCUCGGCCCCCCUCGCGGCCCCCGCCAGCCCUGCAGGCGGGGCUCCCCGCGACGCUGGGGCGGCCAGGCCCAGGCUGCUCGCCCGCUGGCUCCGGGGACGGUGCCUAAUUAAGGGGUCUGCUCCGGCCUCGGGGGGGCCGACUUAAGGCCUCCUGCCAGUAACAAGAGCCACACGCAUGGGGGUGGGGCGGGGGCCAGCGCCCUGCUGCCCGGCGCCCCGUUAGCACCCGCAGGCCCACGUCGCGGUUCCGCAGGGAUGGCCCGCACGGCUCAGAGCUCCCGGGCGCUCCAGUUCCGAGAGACGACGAGCCAAAGAGCAGGAGCCCCUCGCCCCGGACUCGGGUGUCGCGUUGCACGUCGCGGCCCAGACUUCCCCGGAGUCCCCAGGGGAGCACGGGGGCCGCAGGGAGGAUGUCCCAGGGCUGGCCACGCGGCACGGAGAGGACCUAGCGGGCUGGGGCCGGGGCUGGGGCCCAGACGCCCUUUGACCCUAGGACAAAGGCCGCCUCACACGCCACAUCCCGGGCUGCAGGUGGAUCCCGGGAGUCCUGUGCUGCGGCCCUCGUGCCCCUGUCUGAGCCCUCCUGCCCCCCACCCCCCUCCUCUCCCUGUGCACGCCUGAACACGCCGCCCUGCACCUCUGCCCUCCGCCCGCAGCAGGGCAACCGUGCACAGCACCCAGCACUCAACUGGUUCCCAGCAAAUACUCACCAAACCUAAUAAAAGUCGAUGUUUGCUCCGGCUCCA
rnacentral:lncRNA from 12 species